rnacentral:tRNA from 1 species
UUAACUGAAGCUAAAAAGAAGCUUUUCACUGUUAAUGAAAAAAAUGAUAAAAUCCAGUUAAA